rnacentral:rRNA from 1 species
UUGAUAGGCCGGGUGUGUAAGCGCAGCGAUGCGUUGAGCUAACCGGUACUAAUGAACCGUGAGGCUUAACCUUGCAACGCCGAAG